AUAAUUUUUGUUUGCAAUUCAAGCACGAGGUA
rnacentral:tRNA from 1 species